rnacentral:tRNA from 1 species
GGUGAGAUGCCCGAGUGGCCAAAGGGGGCGGACUGUAAAUCCGCUAGCAGAUUGCUUUCGAAGGUUCAAAUCCUUCUCUCACCACCA